UGGGGAAUAUUGCACAAUGGGCGCAAGCCUGAUGCAGCCAUGCCGCGUGUAUGAAGAAGGCCUUCGGGUUGUAAAGUACUUUCAGCGAGGAGGAAGGCGUUGUGGUUAAUAACCGCAACGAUUGACGUUACUCGCAGAAGAAGCACCGGCUAACUCCGUGCCAGCAGCCGCGGUAAUACGGAGGGGGCAAGCGUUAAUCGGAAUUACUGGGCGUAAAGCGCACGCAGGCGGUGUGUCAAGUCGGAUGGGAAAUCCCCGGGCUCAACCUGGGAACUGCAUCCGAAACUGGCAGGCUAGAGUCUUGUAGAGGGGGGUAGAAUUCCAGGUGUAGCGGUGAAAUGCGUAGAGAUCUGGAGGAAUACCGGUGGCGAAGGCGGCCCCCUGGACAAAGACUGACGCUCAGGUGCGAAAGCGUGGGGAGCAAACA
rnacentral:rRNA from 1 species